UACGUAGGUGGCAAGCGUUGUUCGGAAUUAUUGGGCGUAAAGGGCGCGUAGGUGGCUGUGUAAGUCUGCUGUCAAAGAGCGAAGCUCAACUUCGUAAAGGCAGUGGAAACUACACGGCUAGAGUGCGUUCGGGGCAGAGGGAAUUCCUGGUGUAGCGGUGAAAUGCGUAGAGAUCAGGAAGAACACCGGUGGCGAAGGCGCUCUGCUAGGCCGCAACUGACACUGAGGGACGAAAGCUAGGGGAGCGAAUGGG
rnacentral:rRNA from 1 species